rnacentral:rRNA from 1 species
UACGUAGGGGGCAAGCGUUGUCCGGAAUCAUUGGGCGUAAAGAGCGUGUAGGCGGCUCGGUAAGUCCGCUGUAAAAGUCCAGGGCUCAACCCCUGGAAAGCCGGUGGAAACUGUCGAGCUAGAGUCCGGAAGAGGCGAGUGGAAUUCCUGGUGUAGCGGUGAAAUGCGCAGAUAUCAGGAGGAACACCAAGUGGCGAAGGCAGCUCGCUGGGACGGUACUGACGCUGAGACGCGAAGCGUGGGGAGCAAACAGG